CAAUCCAACAUCACAUAUCUGUAUUGGAUUCUGGUACUACAUGCUCGGGCCUUCAGUGUCCAGCCUCGACCUGCUGGUUGAGACGGAAACCUCUGAGCUGUUAGUCUGGACUCGCCGGGGCACCCAGAAUCCAGAAUGGAUUCAUGCACAAGUAACCGUCAACAUGAACAAUAUCAUACGGGUGAUGUUCACUGGCCAUAGAAACACAAACAGUCAAGGAUUCAUUGCCAUUGAUGACAUUCGAGUGAAGGAGGGGGC